GGCUCGUUCGUCUAUCGGUUCAGGACGUCGGCUUCUCAAGCCGGAAAGAAGGGUUCGAUUCCCUUACGAGCUGC
rnacentral:tRNA from 1 species